rnacentral:rRNA from 1 species
ACGGAGGGUGCGAGCGUUAAUCGGAAUUACUGGGCGUAAAGCGCGCGUAGGCGGCUGGGUAAGUCGGAUGUGAAAGCCCUGGGCUUAACCUGGGAAUGGCAUUCGAUACUGCCCGACUAGAGUAUGGUAGAGGAAAGCGGAAUUCCCGGUGUAGCGGUGAAAUGCGUAGAUAUCGGGAGGAACAUCAGUGGCGAAGGCGGCUUUCUGGACCAAUACUGACGCUGAGGCGCGAAAGCGUGGGUAGCAAACAGG